rnacentral:rRNA from 1 species
GACGAACGCUGGCGGCGCGCCUAAAACAUGCAAGUCGAACGAGAAGCCCGGGCUUGCCCGGGUGGACAGUGGCGAACGGGUGAGUAACACGUGAGGAACCUGCCCCGAAGACCGGGACAACACCGGGAAACCGGUGCUAAUACCGGAUACCUUCACCGGAUCGCAUGGUCUGGUGAAGAAAUGGAUUCCGCUUCGGGAUGGCCUCGCGGCCUAUCAGCUAGUUGGUGAGGUAACGGCUCACCAAGGCGACGACGGGUAGCUGGUCUGAGAGGAUGUCCAGCCACACUGGGACUGAGACACGGCCCAGACUCCUACGGGAGGCAGCAGUUAGGAAUCUUGCGCAAUGGACGAAAGUCUGACGCAGCGACGCCGCGUGCGGGAUGAAGGCCUUCGGGUUGUAAACCGCUUUCAGCAGGGACGAAAUUGACGGUACCUGCAGAAGAAGCCCCGGCCAACUACGUGCCAGCAGCCGCGGUAAUACGUAGGGGGCAAGCGUUGUCCGGAUUUAUUGGGCGUAAAGAGCUCGUAGGUGGUUCGGUAAGUCGGAUGUGAAAUCUCCAGGCUCAACCUGGAGGGGUCAUUCGAUACC